GGGCGCAUGGUCUAGUGGUAUGAUUCUUCUUUAGGGCGAUUAGUCUCUGACUAAGCUCAUAGAAGAGGUCCUGGGUUCAAUUCCCAGUGCGCCCC